CGCGUGAGUGAUGAAGGUUUUCGGAUCGUAAAGGCUCUGUUGUUAGGGAAGAACAAGUGCCGUUCAAAUAGGGCGGCACCUUGACGGUACCUAACCAGAAAGCCACGGCUAACUACGUGCCAGCAGCCGCGGUAAUACGUAGGUGGCAAGCGUUGUCCGGAAUUAUUGGGCGUAAAGGGCUCGCAGGCGGUUUCUUAAGUCUGAUGUGAAAGCCCCCGGCUCAACCGGGGAGGGUCAUUGGAAACUGGGGAACUUGAGUGCAGAAGAGGAGAGUGGAAUUCCACGUGUAGCGGUGAAAUGCGUAGAGAUGUGGAGGAACACCAGUGGCGAAGGCGACUCUCUGGUCUGUAACUGACGCUGAGGAGCGAAAGGCGUGGGGAGCGAACAGGAUUAGAUACCCUGGUAGUCCACGCCGUAAACGAUGAGUGCUAAGUGUUAGGGGGUUUCCGCCCCUUAGUGCUGCAGCUAACGCAUUAAGCACUCCGCCUGGGGAGA
rnacentral:rRNA from 1 species